UUUCCAGAUCACACUGUUUCUGGUAGACUUACAGCCCAGGGAGACCAGAAGCAACCUGGCUCAGUAGGUUAUGGCCUUUGCAGCAUAAUUUCACUAGGCAGAGAUUGAAUGGUGCAAUGUCAGCAGUCGUGGAUGCUCUUGGGAGGACCUUGUUAAGUACGAGAUUUGCUCGCUUCCAUGGCUGAAUUUUUGGUGAGUCUCAUGGGACUCUGGUUACAAACCCUCUUGCUUGUCACCUGCAUGGAAGUCUAAUUCUCUACUCAGUUACAAGUUCCAAAUAGCAACUGUCUCUGACUUGGGAUACUGGCAUGCUGAUCUUGCUCUUUCUAAGCCAUGGAGAAGACGGGGAAAAUGAUGAAGAGCAAGGCAAUGGCAGCUUUACAAGGAACAGACAAGAUAAAAUAUGGACUUGUCCAUCCCUUCCAUUCUCUACCCUGCCUCCCACUUACCUUGUCACUACCCUCAGAGCCCAACACCAGAGGCUGGCCCAAGCUGAGGAUGGCAAAGGGAAUGGAGGGUGGAGAGGGAUGGCUGGUGACUGAGGGGUUGCUUCCUGAUAGCUGGGACUGGGCUCCUAAACACUUUGCCAAUGAUGAUCAGAGCCCCCUCAGAGCACAAACCAGCUUUCUCUUCUUUUCUCUGCUGUAUUUUCUUGAUUAUUCAUUAUUAUCUUUAUUGAUUUGAAUAAACUGUAAAUAUAGGCAAAGUAAUGAAAAUAAUGUUCAGUUGAGAUAGCAGCUAGAGAAAGCAACAAAAAAAGGGCUUGCAAGAUCCCAGUCUGACAACUGGAGUGUGAAAGUGGCUCCCACAUUGAUGGGUCACACAGAAAAAAUGCUGUUCCACAUCACUGUUCACAAACCUCUCACAGUUAUUCACCAGCAAUUCUGUGUCCAUAUCCUUACCCCUGCUGCUCUUUCCCAGAGUCUCUGAGCCUGGAAUAAGUUGGAUUUCUGCUGAUCCAUUGGAUCAGGGUGAAUUCUGGCAGUCCUGCAGGAAGACUUCUUACAGCUUGUACUUUCUUGUAGUUUACUUCAUGGCCUUUUCUUCCUAGCAGGGCAGGAAAGGUGAGGAAGAGGUACAGGGAGAAGGAGGCUCCUGCAGCGUGCCCGGGGCAGUGUGAUUGCAGCUGUCCCUUGCCAUAUCAGAAUGGGCAUGUAGGUGACAGGCC